CCGUAUUUUAACAAACUAUAUACUUAUUACCGCUGACAUCUCCGUUUGAUGUUAUGUUACCAUAAUUUUUAUUGAAACGUAAACAUUUCCCCUUUCGUUUCAGUAGUCAUUUAUAUCUGUAAGAGAUACGUGACAUAACAAUGUUAAAAAGAAUAUUAAUGUUCCAUGCGUUGAAAAAUGCGGUUGUUUUAUCUCGAGGUACCACUUCGUCGACGGCAAAGAUUAUAUUUCGAGGUAUGUCACAAGUCGGUAUCGAAAUCGAUAGAAAAUGGGAUUUGUUCGGUGCAGUUUGUUUAGAACGCCACCCAAUAAUUACAAAACCGAUGGAAGAUGUAGAAGCACGAUAUCAAGAGAUGUUAAAACAGAUAGAAUUAGAAAAUAGUUUAAUAUCGGAUUUUGAAAUCCAAAUGAAACAAGAACUAAAGCAUGAAUGGAAAAUUGGAUCUACGGAUGAAAGCAAAGAGAAAAUUAAAACUCAAACUUUACAAGAUAUCAGAGACUCUUACAAAGAAGAAUUAAUGAAAUUUCAGUUUGCAUCGCGAACAAAUGCCGAAGAAGAUGAUCAAGUAACAUCGUUGAAUCGUAAAUUGGACAAAACGUUGGUACUAUUGGUAAAUGAACGGAUAGGGACCGAUAAUUUCUGGAUUCCACCGCAAACCGUACAUAAAUGUACAGAAACUAUGAUAGAGACCGCGCGAAGAACCGUGGAAGAAUUUUGUGGUAAUAAUAUAGGAGUACAAUUUUAUGGUAACGCACCGAUUGGCUUUUAUACGUACAAAUAUCCGAAACAACUCGAGGGAAAGGAUGGAGCAAAAAUAUUCUACUUCCUAGCAAAAUAUAUAAACGGAGAUAUUUCUUCCAAAUUACAACACUGUUGGUUAGAUAGGGAAGAACUAGAAAAAAUUGUCCAUCCUAGACUUUAUAGAAGCUUGUCUCAAUUUUUGCUGCCAGAAUAAUUUGUUAAGCCUCUAUAUAUUUCUUCGACCGAGACAAAUUAGUUAGCAGAAUUUUCUGUGUUCGCACGGAUACGCGUUUGCUUGAAUCUUCAAAUUUCUGGAACAGAAGUUUCAAAUAGCUAUUGCAAAUUUAUCCAUGUUUUCGUUGUACAAGAUUAUUCAUAAAAACAAAUACAUAAUAUGUAUGUACACAUCUGAACAGCUUCGAAAAUACAAAUGCGAUAAAGUGCAUCGUAGAAGAAAUAUGUGGGUAAAAUUGAAAUACAGCUCUGGCAGACCUCGAAAGGCACGAGUACAACGUGGAAAAAAAUUGAAAUAUACGCUUCGAUGGUCGAUGCGAUUUUUUAUCAGCAUUGCAUAACCAUUGUAAAGCAGAGAUACUGAUCGCUCCGUCGAAACAUCCUGGUUUAAAUGGCAUUCCCUGUCCCAUAUCUCCUAUAAUUAAAUCACCCUCCACUUCUCUUUCCAAUGCUACGCCUGUCGAUAUGUAAUACCAAAAGACAGUUAAACAAGACAAGACGGUCAAAAAAUAUAACAGAUACAAACAAAUUAAAA